CUCGGCCGAGCUCGUCAUCGACGCGAUUAAAAUGUACCCAUAUCUGUAUGACAAGCGGCACCCUUCUUUUAAAGAUCGGACAAAAAAGGACCGGGCUUGGGCAGAGAUCGGAAGCAUGUUCGGCAUGUCGAGGUACUGUGCAACAUGAGUGCCAUUGACCAAAGCAGCCACAUCACAGCAGAAGAGGCUAACGAGAGAUCACCGCCUCGGCCAAGCCAUGCAGCGGAACCGGAACGUAC